CCAAGUUUCUCCUUUAAAAAGGGAUGCUACGUACCAAAGCUAAAAAUCCACCAAGCAACAUAUAUUAGAAAUUUUACAGCAUUGCUAAUAACUCAGAUAGGCCAGAAUUAGUGUGUUCAUAAUUAAGAAAGAUGGGAAUAAAGUUAUGGGUAAUGUUAGUGAUGAUGGUGCUUUCACUACUAAAUGGACGGUAUUGUUUAGGGUGUUGGGAGGAAGAGAAGGUUGCUCUUUUGCAGCUCAAAGAAAAUAUAAACUUUCCAGGUGGAGAAUCGCUACCUUCAUGGGUGGUUAAUGAGAUUGAAACUGACUGUUGUCAAUGGCAAGGGGUUAAAUGUAGCAACACAACUAAACGAGUAAUCCAAAUUAUUCUUGAUGACGCUAGGGAUUGGAAAUUUGAAGAUUGGUAUUUUAAUGCCUCUCUAUUUCUUCCCUUUCAAGAGCUCAGAAAUCUCUCUUUGGAGAUGAAUCAGUUGGUUGGUUGGAUUGAGAAUGAAGGUUUUGAUAGAUUGUCGACGUUGAGAAAUUUGGAGGCCCUUAAUUUGGGUGAGAAUUCAUUUGAUCGCAAAAUUUUGUCAGCUCUUAGUCAGCUUUCUUCACUCAAGCAUUUGGGACUUCAUGGUUGCUUUUCAGAGAUAAAAAAUUACGGCAAUAGUCGUGAAAGACUCUUUGGAUUAACCAAGCUGGAAGUUCUCGAUUUUACAUAUAAUCCUGGGAUUAUCGAAGAUGAUAUUCUAUCAGUCCUAAAUCUGAAUGAUUUUAUCAAUUUAAAGGAGCUCGACCUAAGUAUGAAUGAAUUUAGAAGCUUGGGUACCACUUAUGGUCUAAAAUAUUUGAGGGUCCUCAAUUUACAAUCAAAUCACUUCAAUAAUAGCAUUUUCUCCUCACUUCAUAGGCUGUCAUCACUCCAGUCUCUAGAUCUCUCUUUCAAUGAAAUAAAAGGAACCGUCCAAAUUAGAGAUUUACGCGCUUUGAGUAAUUUGGAGGAGCUUGAUCUAAGUGGUAAUAAGGUCGACAACUUCACAACUCUAACAGGCAUCAAAAGUAUGCAUAGUCUCCAAGUGCUAAAAUUAGAUUCCUUAUAUGUCUCCAACAUUAGCAACAUGGUGCAAUCUUUGAGGGCAUUCGCUUACCUCAAGCACUUCUAUUUUCGGUACAAUUAUGUGAACGGAAGCAUUGGAUCUUAUGACUUGAGUCAUUUAAGACGGCUUGAGGGAUUGUUCUUGGAUAAUUCUAUUGUGGAUUGGAACUUUCUACAAAGUAUUGGAGCACUAACUUCUCUCAAGAUUUUAUCUCUGUCCAAUUGCGGACUCAAUGGUACCCUUCUUGUUCAAGGAUUGUGUGAACUUAAAAAACUCCAAGAGUUAGAUCUUCGUUGGAAUGAGUAUGAAGGAAUACUUCCUUCAUGUGUUGCAAACAUGACAUCUCUUAGAGUAGUUGAACUCUCACACAAUACAUUCACCGGAAAUAUUGCCUCCCCUCCACUUUCGAAACUCACAUCACUUGAAUAUCUCUCCAUUUCAAGUAACAACUUUCAAGUUCCAAUUUCAUUCAAGGCAUUCUUUAAUCAUUCAAACUUUAAGUUUUUAUUUUUGGACAAUAAUGAAAUAAUAGAUGACAAUGAGUUGGGAAAUUGGGUUCCCAAUUUUCAACUAGAGGCUUCUAGUAUGUCGAAUUCAAGAGGUCCUCCAUCGUUACCCCACUUCCUUUACUAUCAAUCCAAUUUGAGAUUUCUUGAUCUCUCAAAUAACAGCAUAGGACCGAAUUUUCCAACUUGGUUGCUGGAGAACAACACAAGACUUUGGGGACUAAACCUGAGGGAUAAUGUUUUUAUAGGACCUCUCAAGUUGCCAACAAGCACCAAUCCCAACAUGGAGAGUUUUGAUGUAUCUAAUAACAAGUUCAAUGGACAUGUUCCAACUAAUAUAACUUCAAUUUUUCCAAACUUGGUUGCGUUAAACAUAUCAACAAAUAUGUUUGACGGUUGUGUACCUAGUUUCAGUGACUUGAAAUCUAUAGAAUAUAUAGACUUGUCCAGCAAUAAUUUAUCAGGCACAAUACCACAGGAAGUAGUGAUGGGAUGCUUUUCUUUGUAUUUUCUCAAAUUUUCGGAUAAUAAAUUGCAAGGACAAAUAUUUCCAGAAUCUAUCAACCUACAAUACUUGAGAUAUUUAUAUCUGGACAGUAAUGAGUUCUCAGGCACCAUUCCGAAGAGCUUGUCUACCAUGGAUCUUUCAACGUUAGACAUUAGUAACAAUUGUUUGUCGGGCAGAAUUCCUACAUCAGUGGGUAAUAUGACAGCAUUGAGGGAAAUUUCUCUUUCUAACAACCAACUCGAGGGUCCAAUUCCGGAGGAAAUUUGCAAUCUCGAUCUUUACCUCUUAGAUUUAUCUGAGAACAAGUUAUGUGGUUCAGUCCCAUCUUGCUUCAAUCCAUCACGGAUGGAUCAUGUCUAUCUGAAUAAUAAUCAAUUGGAGGGUGAGCUCCCAUAUGCAUUUCAUAAUUGCUCUUAUUUGGAGUUAUUGGACCUUAGACAUAAUAAGUUCAUUGGAGGUAUCCCUCAUUGGAUUGGCAAUCUAUCAAUGUUGAGUAUUAUUCUUCUCGGAGGUAACCACUUUGAAGGCACAAUCCCUUACCAAUUUUGUGAGAUGGACCAACUAAGCAUGAUAGACCUUUCCUUUAAUUUUCUUUCGGGUCAAAUCCCGCCUUGCUUCGGUAACAUCACCAUGAAGAAUUCUGGAGUGUUUGAAAGAUCAAUCUAUAUGUACAAUGGAAAAAUUGUGUCUUUCUUAUAUAAGGUUAUGUUAGAAAGGCCCUCUCACAUAACUUUCGGAAGAAGUCAGUAUUUCUCCGAAAUUUUUGGCAAGCUUGGUUUCACGCCAAUUAGAGCGACAUUCAUGACAAAGAGAAAUUAUUAUACUUACAAAGGUCGCAUCCUCAAUUACAUGUCAGGAAUUGAUCUCUCUUCUAAUAAAUUACAUGGUGAAAUUCCGGAUGGCCUUGGAAAUUUAAGUGAGAUCCACUCACUCAACUUGUCGCACAACUAUCUUAUUGGAACAAUUCCAGAAACAUUCUCAAACCUACGUCAGAUUGAGAGCUUAGAUCUCUCCUAUAACAACUUAGGUGGGAGGAUCCCUACCGGUUUGAUCAAGUUAAACAAUUUGGCAGUCUUCAGUGUGGCGCACAACAAUUUAACAGGUACGAUACCAGAGAAAUUUCAGUUUGGGACUUUUGAUGAAGGUAGUUAUCAGGGAAAUCCUUAUCUUUGUGGCCAUCCAUUACGUGUCAACUGUACUAGCACCGGACCAACACCUGUCUUGCCAUUUGCUGAUGAUGAAAGUGAGGAGCGCGGUUUUAUGGACAUGGAGUUCUUCUAUAUAAGCUUCAUCUUAUCUUAUUUAUGUGUAGUGAUUUGCAUUGCUACAGUUCUAUCCAUAAAUUCUCACUGGAGAAAAGCAUGGUUUCAUUUCAUCGAGGUUUAUAUAAUCCAUUUUUGAGGCCGUGUGUUCUAGACAGGAUUCCCAUUUUCCAAAUCAAGGUAUCUGCUUUAAUUCUGUAUGAAGAUCAUCAUAUACUAUACUAACUUUUAUAACUAGUAUAGAUUUACAAUCUAUCUAAUCAAUUAUGUCAUUUUUCCUUCUAGAUUUGAUAAUUCGAAAGUAACGAAGCAGUGAAGGCAAUUAUAACAGCAUGGUAGGAAGCAAAGAUGGCCAUGUGUGUAUGCAAAGUGGCCAUGUGUGUAUAUUCAAUCAUAGAAGUAUGAAAUAAUUUUGAAUUCCGUACUUGUAUUAAUACAUGGAAAGGUGAUUUGUUUCCCAGCUAAAUAUUUUUGUUUGAGCAAAAAAGAUAAAAAAAUAAAAUAAAAAAUAAGGAGCAACAUGGCAUUUGAUUUCUAAAAGAUUUAUAUUUGAGCUUCUUCAUUUAUUCUUUUUCCCUAGUCCAUACAUAGAAUUUGCGCAUUAACUUUGAGUCACAUUUUGUCGAAGAGAGAGUUCGCAACCUAUUAUUCAGAAUUCAGUUUUUUGUUCUUGUUAUCAAAAGUGAUUGUACCUUGGAAGGAUCAUUUUUGGACUUUUCAUCUAUGGAUGCAAACUUUGCCUGGGCGUGGACUCAACGGCACCCUUUCCAAUUAGGUAAAAAUGACAAACAUUGAAGAUCAGAUUGAUGAUCUGGAAAUGUAAAUUGAGAUGGAAGAAAUUGAAAUCUCAACGAAGUAGCAAAAGGUAAAAGUUCUACCUAAACCUGAACAAGGAACUAAUUUCCAAGAAUCAACAAGUUAUAAUCCGAAAGGAGAUGGAAAAAGGAUUGAAGGGGAUAACAUUCCUAGACCUAAUCCUAAAAAUGAAUAUUCAGAUCAGAAUCUUUUACAAUCUGAAGAUAUACCAAAAAAAAGUAACCUGCAAGUUACAAUUCUAGACUUAGGUUGUACUCUAGAACCUGACAAACUUAUUGAUGCAUGGUAUAGCCAUAUUAUGGUAGCCAUGAUAACCAAUAAGGAAAUUAUUAAAAGUGAAGCUAAUUCAUGGAAUUAUGUUUUAGACUUCUCCA